CAGGUAGUAGUGGGUGUAGCGUACCUACUAGCCUACGACGGGUACGGGUUGUGAGAGCAAGAGCCCGGAGAUGGAUUCUGAGACACGAAUCCAGGCCCUACGGGGCGCAGCAGGCGCGAAAACUUUACAAUGCCGGCAACGGCGAUAAGGGGACCUCGAGUGCCAGGUUACAAAUCUGGCUGUCGUGAUGCCUAAAAAGCAUUGCAUAGCAAGGGCCGGGCAAGACCGGUGCCAGCCGCCGCGGUAACACCGGCGGCUCGAGUGGUAACCGUUAUUAUUGGGUCUAAAGGGUCUGUAGCCGGCCGGAUAAGUCUCUUGGGAAAUCCAGCAGCUCAACUGUUGGGCUUUCAGGAGAUACUGUCUGGCUCGAGGCCGGGAGAGGUGAGAGGUACUUCAGGGGUAGGGGUGAAAUCUUGUAAUCCUUGAAGGACCACCAGUGGCGAAGGCGUCUCACCAGAACGGACCUGACGGCAAGGGACGAAAGCUAGGGGCACGAACCGGAUUAGAUACCCGGGUAGUCCUAGCCGUAAACGAUACUCGCUAGGUGUCGGCCACGGUGCGACCGUUGUCGGUGCCGUAGGGAAGCCGUGAAGCGAGCCACCUGGGAAGUACGGCCGCAAGGCUGAAACCUAAAGGAAUUGGCGGGGGAGCACCACAACGGGUGGAGCUUGCGGUUUAAUUGGAUUCAACGCCGGAAAUCUUACCGGGACCGACAGCAAUAUGAAGGCCAGGCUGAAGACUUUGCCGGAUUAGCUGAGAGGUGGUGCAUGGCCGUCGUCAGUUCGUACUGUGAAGCAUCCUGUUAAGUCAGGCAACGAGCGAGACCCACGCCCACAGUUGCCAGCGUACUCUCCGGAGUGACGGGUACACUGUGGGGACCGCCGCUGCUAAAGCGGAGGAAGGAAUGGGCAACGGUAGGUCAGUAUGCCCCGAAUAUCCCGGGCUACACGCGAGCUACAAUGGUUGGUACAAUGGGUAUCUACCCCGAAAGGGGAUGGAAAUCUCCUAAAGCCAAUCUUAGUUCGGAUUGAGGGCUGCAACUCGCCCUCAUGAAGCUGGAAUCCGUAGUAAUCGCGUUUCAACAGAACGCGGUGAAUACGUCCCUGCUCCUUGCACACACCGCCCGUCAAACCACCCGAGUAGGGUCUGAAUGAGAGCGCUUCCUUCGGAGGCGUUCGAAUUUGGGCUUUGCAAGGGGGGUUAAGUCGUAACAAGGUA
rnacentral:rRNA from 1 species